rnacentral:lncRNA from 1 species
AUUUUCAAGCUUACCUAACUGAUAGAAACAUACAAUUUCAGAGAUUCAACAUGCUUGGAAAUAUCAGGUUCUCACUCUCCACUUCCUCUCCUCCUCCUACUGUAAUAACACAUAUGCAUCAAUUUUCUCUGCAGGAAUCUCUCAGACUUUGCAGAAACAUUCAAAAUUUUCACCCAUUUGAUGAUCAUCAUCUACUCAUUACUCCAUGCUUUAGAGAAAGAAGAUGAUCAUCCAAUGCACAACCAAAGCUAUUCCAAAUGUUGUAGUUCUUGAAUAAAUUCUUACAGCUCAAUUUGUCUCAGUCUCAAAAUGAAAUUCUCACUGCAAAUAAUAGUUGGAAAAAAUUUAGAUUCCUUCCCCUCUAACAAGUUUUUUU